rnacentral:lncRNA from 1 species
AGAAAGGGCCUGGGGACUGGCCCGUGUCAUCGAUGGAGUCAUGGGCACUGGUAGUUUUACUGCAGCGCACCCACCCUGCUUGUCCCCUGUGCCGUGUGCCUUCUCUUAGGGACGCCAUUGCAAGAAGAAGCAUGCCUCCAAGAGACAAGAGGAGAGAACAAGAUACAAUAAGGCAAAAGCUCUCAUAUGGAGGGUGGACAGGGCAAUCCAAGAGGAGGACAAAAGUCCCAAGAGCAGUCUUCUCUUCAGAAGCUUUGAUGGAGACUGUGGGUGCAUUCACGGUCCCAGCUGGAGGUUGCUCUUUUGGGAUGUUUGGAGGAUGGGUCAGCUUUCCAGUUGUAAAAGCAUUUGUUGACUUAUUUAGUAUGAGUUCACGUUCUUUUUUCUGCAAAAUAUAAGAAGGUAAAGAUAUGUCACCUUUCAGCUCCUGGAUAAGGUCUCACAGUCUGUCUUCAAAAGAGACAAUGAAUAUGAGCUCGGUGCUGGGAGAGGAUAGGCCUCUUGCAAGCCUAGAAUCCCGCAGCAGAUAGGCGUGGGUGUGCACGAGUCCUUAUUGAUGUUAGUGUUUAGUAUUUCUCAGGAAUCUACUAUAAACUGAAUUAAGAUCACUGUAACAAGCAUUUCUUUAUUUAAGUGAGCCCUUGGGAGUGAAUAGUCUAUGCAGUUUGUUUGUUUUUUACUAGGUAUUUAUUUCAUUUACAUUUCCAAUGCUAUCCCAAAAGUCCCCCACACGCUAUCCCACCCACUCCCCCACCCACCCACUCCCACUUCUUUGCCCUGGCAUUCCCCUAUACUGAGGCAUAUAAAGUUUGCAUGACCAAUGGGCCUCUCUUUCCACUGAUGGCCGACUCAUACAUACAUAUGCAGCUAGAGACAUGAGAAACAUUCUAAAGAAUGACAUUUAGAGAAUAAUUAAAGGGAGAGUAAUUUGAAAUGCUGACUACAGUAAGAAGUCCUUGAUGCAAGGUGUAUCUCAAAAAGGGUUCCCAAGAAUCAGCCAUGCAUCUGCUUUAAACAGCACAAUGAAAAUGUCUUUUAUUGUUGAGUAUCAUUUCUUUUCAGAAUGUAUAAUUAUGUCUUUUUGAUGGACAUAUGUGCGGUCUCCAGUUGGGACUAUUCUGGAUCCGGCAAAUGUCUUGUUCAUGCUGUCUUGUGUUUUGGUUUGCUUCUUUGUUUUAAUUGUAUAUGGAAUUCUAGAACAGGUUAUAAACUUAAUGUGUAAAAAUAAGAACUGUGGUUACAUUUAGAGAGGUGAGAACAGGAGCUGUUUAGAUAUAUAUAGAGAGUUUCCUAAUUACUAAUGAUGUGAUAAUUUUGGGGACACAGGAGUGUGUGUUUGCAUGAACUAAACAAAGAUAUGCCUGUUUGUGUACUUUAUGUUGGAUAAAUUUUCCUCCAAGGGAAUUAAAUAAAUAAUAACUCACACU